rnacentral:rRNA from 1 species
UACGGAGGACCCAAGCGUUAUCCGGAAUCAUUGGGUUUAAAGGGUCCGUAGGCGGUUUGGUAAGUCAGUGGUGAAAGCCCAUCGCUCAACGGUGGAACGGCCAUUGAUACUGCCAGACUUGAAUUAUUAGGAAGUAACUAGAAUGUGUAGUGUAGCGGUGAAAUGCUUAGAGAUUACAUGGAAUACCAAUUGCGAAGGCAGGUUACUACUAAUGGAUUGACGCUGAUGGACGAAAGCGUGGGUAGCGAACAGG